CACAUCAGUGUGUGCGUGGGGAACGACCAGAGCAGGAAGAAAAAGGGUAAAACCCUAAACUCCACAAAAUCUUCUAAUUGAAGGUGCAAUUGAAGACCAAACUCGGAUUUGAAUACAUAUAAACGAUCACCGAGCUAAGGGGAUCGUAAGUUGACUCUAAACAAGCUAGGUGGGAGCUUGGAAAGGAACGGGUCAAACGGAUCAUGGAUGCGAAGAAUGUUUGCGCGAACGCGAGGAGUGAACGGGAAGUGGAUUAUUGCGUUGCUAUAAAGUAGCGGCUAAUAAAAGAAAGGUGAAUGCCAAGAGUGCCCGGAUGAAGAUCAAGCUCGAUGAGGAACCGAACACAAUAAAAUCUAACACUCGGGAUUAAAGCUUCCGCACGGCGUUACGCCAUAUCUUUUAAACAACGAACUUAUCUAUAUUAUGUUGAAAACUUUUAAGUUGUAAAAGUUUUAGAUUACUUGUAUUUUCUAAGAAUACUUAAUCGAAAUUUCAUGUUUAUUUUCGUUAUUUAUACGAAAACUUUA
rnacentral:lncRNA from 1 species